GUACUAUCUUCCUCAUAGAGUUGAUAUGUUAUACAAAGGUCAUAUAUGUGAAAAAAUCUUUGAAAAUGUGAAUGUGAUAUAAUCUGUAUCCCAGUAGUUUAUUUUUUUUAAGUUUAUUUAUUUAUUUUGAGAGAGACAGAGACAGGUCAAGUGGGGGAGGGGCAGAGAGAGAGAAUCCCAAGCAGGCUCCGCUCUGUCAGCACAGAGCCUGACACGGAGCUGGAACCCAGGAACUGUGAGAUCAUGACCUGGGCUGAAACCAAGAGUCAGAUGCUUAACUGACUGAGCCACCCAGGCGCCCCUCCCAGUAGUUUAUUCUUAAAUGAACACCAACCACCCAAUAACCAUGCCUCUGUUCCACAUACAACAUGCUGUAAGACAUUGCAGAGGUGAGGGCAGUACUUAGGUUUCCUGCUAAAGAAAUCUGAGCUCUUGCAUUAUUUUGAGACACUGUUCCGUCUUGGUUCAGAAUGGUGGUUCUGAAGGUCUGCCCUGUCUUUGGGGGCCAGGAGAGAGCUGGAGGUCAAGUUUGCUGAGUCUGGGUUUAAGCAGCACAGCCAAACCUCUUCAAGACUAAGCCUUGAUCUUGAUGUCAGUUUGUAAGACUAACACUUUGAUGGAGGUGAGAGACUCAUGUAUGAAUAGUGAUGGAGGAGCCAUGGAGCUAGAAGUUCUAGAUCCCAUAUAUUGUGGAAUUUUGGUGUAAUAAUUGGAGUUCAGGCUAAGUUUGAAGUCGACACCCCCUGACUAAGCAGAACACUGACAAGAUGUGACAUCUCUGCCAACUUGAGGAUCUACUUUGGCCUGGGAAAAUUGGAAGAGACCUUGUAAUGGAAGCGAGGACACCAAGAAGUAUAACAAAAGAUAUCUGGAUGAGGUGAGUUGGUCACUCUGUUAGGUUGGGAUACUCUCAUUUCAGAAAGAAGUGAUACGGAGGCUUUGGUGUCAGCAAUAGCAUGAACAUAGACUAGCUGGGUUUCUGCUUCAUCUCUACAGGAAGCUGG
rnacentral:lncRNA from 1 species